rnacentral:rRNA from 1 species
GACGAACGCUGGCGGCGUGCUUAACACAUGCAAGUCGAACGAAGAGCGAUGGAAGCUUGCUUCUAUCAAUCUUAGUGGCGAACGGGUGAGUAACGCGUAAUCAACCUGCCCUUCAGAGGGGGACAACAGUUGGAAACGACUGCUAAUACCGCAUACGAUCUAAUCUCGGCAUCGAGGAAAGAUGAAAGGUGGCCUCUAUUUAUAAGCUAUCACUGAAGGAGGGGAUUGCGUCUGAUUAGCUAGUUGGAGGGGUAACGGCCCACCAAGGCGAUGAUCAGUAGCCGGUCUGAGAGGAUGAACGGCCACAUUGGGACUGAGACACGGCCCAGACUCCUACGGGAGGCAGCAGUGGGGAAUCUUCCGCAAUGGACGAAAGUCUGACGGAGCAACGCCGCGUGGGUGAUGACGGCCUUCGGGUUGUAAAGCUCUGUUAAUCGGGACGAAAGGCCUUCUUGCGAACAGUUAGAAGGAUUGACGGUACCGGAAGAGAAAGCCACGGCUAACUACGUG